UGGGAAAGGGAGGAAGCAGGAUGGCGAGCAAGGAGGAGAGCUGGAGGAGGCACGAGGAGCAGAGACGUGUGAAGAAGCUGCUCUUGCUUCUUGGUCCUGGACUGGGUGACACAGACGUGGGUGAGACCUGUGGGGAGUGACCUCUGGCCAAUGAGCGCAGAAGAGCCGCUGUGACCUCGAUGGGAGGAUGUCUGGAGGAGCUCCUGGAGGUGACAGCCUUCCUGGAGUAAAACAUUUUCCUCACUGCCUCAGAGAUUUCAGAAAAUGAAGCACAGAGGAAUGUUCAUCUCCUAUCCGAGACAUCGGAUGAGGGACAAGGACUUCCCUGGGCAGAGGGUGGCUGAGCUAGUCAAAUGCUCUGCUGUUUCAAGGGACAGAGCUGCAUACCCAGAGCCUGAGCCCCCAGAAGGCAUUCAGAUCAUCACAGCUGCUGACUGGAGAGAGCAAGCCAGACUGUGCACCUUCCCACAGGAGAGGAAGUAGCUGAGCCCUGGAGACUAAACAGACCAGCUCCCCCAAACACCUGAGCAGAAGAUGGGGCUGGGGACACCUUUUUCCAGAUGUCAGCACCUCUGGCUCUGGAUGUCCUGUGACUCUGAGGUGGACCAAAGGAAUGUAUCAGACCCUUAUGGAAACCUCUAAGAAAAUUCUCAAGAAUCCAGCCCCUGAAGUGUUUGUCUUGGGAACCCUCCUUAGGUCCCUGGGAGAGAUCCGCCUCCUCCCUUCGAGUGUGUCCUUUGUGAGUUUGGUAACACAGCCAAGAUGACAACUGUGGUGUUUAGAGGAGUUCCCAAAACAUCCAAGCGUGCCCAGCCAGAAGGGAAGAGACUGAAUUUAGUCUGUGUGACUCCAUCCUCCAUGAAUUUUCUACACAUCCUGUGUCCUCUAGCUACAACUCUCUCGUCCUCCGUGUAGAAAGGCAGUGAGGCUGAGGUCAGAGGCACACAUGUGGACCAUGAAACUUGAAUCUCAGUCUUGUUCAUGUUCCUUCUGUGUGAACUUUGGAACUGAGUUGUCCAAAAUGAAUUUUAAUCCUCGGUUAAGAUUGCUGUGUGCCGAAUAGUCCACACUUAACACCAAUGCAAGCUCACCACCAAGGGAAAAAACCCAACUAUCAGAAAACACUGGAAGAAAAACUCUGAAUAGACUGGCUUUCAUUUCUAAAGAUGUUUUGGAGAUGGAAGAAGGUACUGCUUUCUAAAAGACUCUGUUACCUCUCCUGCUCCAGAGAACAUGAAGAAAUUUUGGUUUUGUGACUGUUUGAGAUGUAGAACUCACUCUUCAUAGAAACUCCAACCCCCAUCUCCCUGUUCUUUGUAAGCAGUCUAACAACUUAGAAUCCAAAGAAAAACAUUAAAACAGCAACAGAUUAUUUUAAUUUGGGGUUUCUCAACCUCAGCACUACUGGCAUUUGGGGAAUGGAUCAUUCUUUGUUGUGGGGGCUGUCUUGUGCAGUGUAGGAUGUUUAGUGUCCUUGGCUUCUACCCACUAGAUUCCAGUAGCACCCCCAGUUGUGACAACAAAAAAUGUCUGCAGACAUUGCCAAUGUCCCCCUGGGUGCAAAAUUACCCCCUGCAGAGAACCACUGCUUUAAUGGUUCUCAAGAGAGAGCACACAUCCUUGCUUUUUUGUUCUUUCUCUUAAUGAUCUGGAAGACAUUAAAAACAUCACAUGCUUUAACCAUUGUUCAGGAAACAGAUUCUGGGUUCGUUGGCUUUCAUCUGGUCCCGCCCCUCUGCUAAGGUAAUCAAUCAAUAGUUAACUUCUUUAAUUGUUAGAGGAUGGCAAGUUUGUUUUCAUUUGCAGACUUUGAGAAAACAUGUAUGUCCAUAAGCUGUGGAAUGGACAUAUGUGAGUCCUGAGACCAUUUUCUAAUUAUGUGAAGUUAAUCUCUCUGGUUAUCCAUCACCUUAUCUAACCCUUUGAAGACUUGUUGCAAGAAUUAAAUGAGAUAAUAACACACACAUGUCACAUAUAGGGUUGUCAGAAUUUGUAGACAAAAAUACAGGAUAGUCAGUUAAAUCUGAAUUUAAGAUAAACAACAUUUUUUGUUUGGUAUGUCCUAUACAACAUUUAGUGCCUUUAAUCAUAUACAAAGUGUUCAGUUUUAUUACUGGAAUUUCCAACUAGGGCAUCAAUUGAGAAAACCAUGCACAGCUCUUGCCUUUAAAGUAAAUGGUCCUGGAUCUAUGUAAAAUAAAAUGGGCGUUUCUCAAAAUAUUAAUACCAUGUGAUCCAGCAAUUCCACUCCUAAGAUCUACCCAGAGAAUACAAAAACACAAAUUCAAAGAUAUAUGUGCUUUCCCAUGUUCAUCGGGCACUAUUUACAAUAGUAAAUUUAUUAAAACAACUAGAUGCCCAACGAUAGUGAGUAGAUUAAAAAGAUGUGGAAUAUAUAUUUGCUAUAUAUAAAUCUAUAAUAUAUAAUAUCCAUGGUAUGUAAUAUCUAUUAUACAUACACACAACAUGGACUAUUACUCAGAUAAAAAAGAUGAAAUCUUGUCAUUUGAGAAAAUAUGGAUGGAAUUGGAGGCGUUUAUGCUAAGCAAAACAAGUCUGAAGAAGAAAGACAAAUACUGGAUGAUUUCAUUCAUAUGUAGAAUAUUGUAAGGGCAGGACUGGACCAGUGCAGGUUUUCUGAUCCCAUGCAAACCGGGUAAAGGAGCAGUCAGAGUCCUUAGUGGCUUUUGCAGGUCUUUUAUUGGGGUUCACCAGGCAUAUGGCAGGCAGGGGUGCUGGGGGCAAAUCCUCACUCUAUCUGGGCUCUCUGGCGUUCUCUGCUUCUGCUGCUGCUGGUGUCCCCGUGACGCCGCCCUUAAAAGCACAGUCUUAGCCCAGCUGAAUCCCAUCUACCUAUGCCCACACCCUACUCCAGUUGCCCGCCAUCAGGCAUGCAUUCAGGACUUCAAGGAUCUAUCAUCUAUCCUGAUGGCAGGAGGGCAGAAAAGCCUGAUAUUUUUCCUUACCCUACAAAUAUACAGAAACAAAACAAAGGAAUGGACAAAAUUAAACCAAAACAAACCCUAGAAAUUUGGCUGCAGAAUUGAGGUUAC